UCAGCCAACAGGACAUGUCUCCAAAAAUCAAGCCUGUCUUUUCCUCCGACAUGUGCCAGCACUGACCUGGCAUCCAUCGUGCACUGUUGCAAUGAAGGGGCUCUUGGCUUGUGUCAGCUCCUCGCCGUUGCUGCCCCGGAAGCGGAGAGCAUGCUGGUAGGAGCGGGAGGCGCUGUCAAACCAGCCAGCUGAAUUCUGACAGAUUGUCAGAAAUGUAUGCAACAAAGAACCAAAUCUGAGAGGUAAUGUUGCCCAGGUGGCCCCCUUGACCCAACAAGACCACGAGAACCCUGGAGAAAAAACAGCAAAUAUUCAGUAGCUAACCUGGAGUCAUGAUCUGGCUAUGUAAAAGUAGAAUAUAAACCACAAAUCAAAACUAAGGAGAGGGGCCAAAUCCUCCGUCUUUGUAGGCUGGCCAAGCCACCUGUUCCAAAGCCACAUCUGUGAUCUCCUGGGAAGUGAUUGAUAUGGAAAUAUAAUCAUACAGGCCAGGAUUUUGUCUUUUACCUUGCCGAAACUCUCUCUUUGCUUGCUCGGUCUAUCUCAUCUCAUUCACCACCGACCGCAUUUCCGUCCUCUAUUUGUCUCCCGCUGUUAUUCUUUUUCCUAUCACUCCCUGUCUCUCUUCAAAACAGACCAUUCCUUCCCAAUGUUUCUGCAGUUUAUCAGACUCUCCCUUACAUGGUACAUGGCAGCUCUAUUUCCUCAAGCACUGAGAGAUCCAUUUGGAGAGACAAAACCCUGCUGAGCUCUAACCUCACCUACUGGGAGAAAGAUAGAAGCGAGUUAUAACCAAUUAACCAGUUUUCACAGCAGAUGCACCAAACUAUGGCUUCUACAAAAAUAGUGUGAACUUUUGGUCUGCUGGAAGGCUGUCAGUUUCCUGGAUUGUUCACAGAAAGCAGUGAGAAUCUUGAUGACAGAUGCUAAAUGUA